UUUCUUUCAAAUGAGAUGGAAAAGAAAUAGCUGGUCUGUACUAUCCAUAAAUACUCUCGUUGAUUUUUUUAAGAACCGACGAUGUGACUUUUGUCGAUAUUACUGACAUUUUUAAUUUCACAGCUUCACAUCGAACGAUUACCUUCCAUCUUCGGGAUUGGCUUUGUGAAAAAUGAACUCGCAAUAUUCAAGCACCGAACUGGCGUUGUGCAACGUUAACAAACGCCGAUAUUAUUGGAAAAUCUUUCGCUAACGUUGCAGAAAUUCACCUUGGAGGACACAUGUGAGGCUUUCCUUUGCCAUUUUAGUUUGUGCCGUGAUAGU
rnacentral:misc_RNA from 1 species